AGUGGCGGACGGGUGAGUAACGCGUGAGAAUCUACCUUGGAGUCGGGGACAACCACGGGAAACUGUGGCUAAUACCGGAUGUGCCGAAAGGUGAAAGAGAAAUCGCCCCAAGAGGAGCUCGCGUCUGAUUAGCUAGUUGGUGAGGUAAAAGCUCACCAAGGCAUCGAUCAGUAGCUGGUCUGAGAGGACGAUCAGCCACACUGGGACUGAGACACGGCCCAGACUCCCACGGGAGGCAGCAGUGGGGAAUUUUCCGCAAUGGGCGAAAGCCUGACGGAGCAAGACCGCGUGAGGGAGGAAGGCUCUUGGGUUGUAAACCUCUUUUCUCAGGGAAGAAAAAAAUGACGGUACCUGAGGAAUAAGCAUCGGCUAACUCCGUGCCAGCAGCCGCGGUAAUACGGAGGAUGCAAGCGUUAUCCGGAAUUAUUGGGCGUAAAGCGUCCGCAGGUGGCACAUCAAGUCUGCUGUCAAAGACCGGGGCUUAACCCUGGAAAGGCAGUGGAAACUGAAGUGCUAGAGUGCAGGAGGGGUAGAGGGAAUUCCCGGUGUAGCGGUGAAAUGCGUAGAUAUCGGGAAGAACAUCGGUGGCGAAGGCGCUCUACUGGACUGCAACUGACACUCACGGACGAAAGCUAGGGGAGCGAAUGGGAUUAGAUACCCCAGUAGUCCUAGCUGUAAACGAUGGAUACUAGGUGUGGCUUGUAUCGACCCGAGCCGUGCCGUAGCUAACGCGUUAAGUAUCCCGCCUGGGAGUACGCGCGCAAGCGUGAAACUCAAAGGAAUUGACGGGGGCCCGCACAAGCGGUGGAGUAUGUGGUUUAAUUCGAUGCAACGCGAAGAACCUUACCAGGGCUUGACAUGCCCGGAAUCCCAGGGAA
rnacentral:rRNA from 1 species